CCCUUAGAUGUCCUGGGCCGCACGCGCGUUACACUGAUGCAUUCAACGAGCUUAUAACCUUGGCCGAGAGGCCUGGGCAAUCUUGUUAACGUGCAUCGUGAUAGGGAUAGAUAUUGAAAUUAUUAAUCUUGAACGAGGAAUUCCUAGUAAACGCAGAUCAUCAAUCUGCAUUGAUUACGUCCCUGCCCUUUGUACACACCGCCCGUCGCACCUACCGAUUGGAUGGUCCGGUGAAGCCUCGGGAUUGUGGUUCUUGCCGCUUUAUUGUGGCGUGACCGCGAGAACUUGUCUAAACCUUAUCAUCUAGAGGAAGGUGAAGUCGUAACA
rnacentral:rRNA from 1 species